rnacentral:rRNA from 1 species
GUCUAUGGCCAUGCCACGCUGAACGUGCCCGAUCCUGUUUGAUCUUGGAAGCUAAGCAGGGUCGGGCCUAGUUAGUACUUGGAUGGGAGACCACCUAGGAAUACUAGGUGCCAAAGGCA